GAGAUUCGUUUAUAUCAUAUCAAGACGCGGUAUCUACACGGAAAAAUUCUAAUUUUUCUUCUUACAAAGGUUCAUAAAAAUUCGUUCAACAUUAUAACAUUAUUUGACUUAAAACAUGUGGAGAUAAUUUCAAGUUGAUCGUUACUUUCUUGAUAUAUUAUCUUUGGAUUUUCCUAUAUAUAAUUUCACCAUUAUACUCUUGGUAUAUACACACAUAAAAAAAAAUAACAUACAAAAUGGAGAGAGAAAAAGAAUGACAUUGAAUAGGGCCAACCAAAAAGCGAGGAAUGCCAACAUUAAGACUACGCUGGCCUGACUUAUCCAGAAAACGAAUUAGCUCACCAUUCUUUACGACAUGAGAACUUUUCUCAUGGUGUUUGAUUGCGAGGAAAAACAUGUUUCGGUGUGGCCAUCCACCCAAGAGGCAAAAUCACUCACAGAGAGUUACUACUCUUUGACCGAAAAUGAAAGGAACAAGAGGGCUGUUGAUCCAGCCUCAUUCAUCCAGGCCAAUAUCCAAAAGAUUGAGUAGAAAAUAGCCAAUACUAUGUAGGCUAUCAAAGAGUUGGAGAGGGAUCAUCUCUUGUCGGAACUCAAUCGUGGUCUUCAAGGUUUAUAAGNNNNNNNNNNNNNNNNNNNNNNNNNNNNNNNNNNNNNNNNNNNNNNNNNNNNNNNNNNNNNNNNNNNNNNNNNNNNNNNNNNNNNNNNNNNNNNNNNNNNAAAUAAAAAUUAAAAACCCCUCUAUAAUUUCUCUUCACUUUUUUUUAGACAAAGCGUAUAAUCAUGAAGAUGUAUAAUAUCAAGCACGAGUACUUCUAUUUGGUGACCAUACCUGUACCGGGGACCUUUUUGAAACGAGAACUCUAUAGGGAUUAUAUGGGGCCGUCCUUGGAGGAAAAUAACUUCGAAAUUUUGAUACUUUCACUAAAUUCAUUUCAUUCCUAGCACUCUUAUGAUAAGCAUAUAUUUUUUUUUUUCUACUUUUUAAAGGAUUUCCCCUCUUUACUUUUUUCUAUUAUUUUUUCUAAUCACUUUUCACUCUAGAUUUAUUUUUAAUUUUUUUAUUGAGUUACCCAUGCCGUAGCCAUAUCUAUUAAUUUUGAUCUUGCCAUUUUCUGUACCCGUUUCCGUACUCUUUUCUAGUUCUCGUACUCAGUUUAGUGCUACUUGAAACUCUUCAGUUGACAAUGAAAUGACUAUGCAGGGUCAUCAUCAGUUGGGUUUGUGUCCUUAUUGAUUGGUGAUGGGUGUAAGCUAAGUGUCAUGGCCACAUCAUUCACAUUUUUGGGCAUUCUUUAGGAUGUGCUAUCGCCUCGUUACUGGGAAUUUGAAUAUUUUUCUAUUAAUAAAAGGUUGUAUACUUUCAUGGAACUUAACUUUCAUUUCUGAUUAUUUUCCUCUCUUUUUUUGUCAUAGUAGCUUCUUUGCAGAUUUCAUAAGCGAUAUGUAUAUGUGAUGAGCAAUAAAGUGACCUNNNNNNNNNNNNNNNNNNNNNNNNNNNNNNNNNNNNNNNNNNNNNNNNNNNNNNNNNNNNNNNNNNNNNNNNNNNNNNNNNNNNNNNNNNNNNNNNNNNNUCGAAAGAGGAAAAAAAAAUCUUGUCAAUUCAUAACAAAUUUUCCAUACAAAGUGUGAAAAAUGAUAAUCAUGAAUGCUAUUAAUGGUAAAAAAUCCAAUGGAAUAAGAAAUGAAUAAAAUUUAUUUGCUAAUAUAUUCAAGAAAGUUGGAAGUUUAUCAAACGUUCCCAUUAUUAAUUGACUUGAUUAAAACAAACUAACAAAGCCCUCAAGGUCUUAUCUCUAAGAGAUGUCUCGUUGACACUCAUGGGAUCAAAAUCCAUCUCAAUCCUAAAAGACAUAACUUUUUUACCACCUUAUGAAAGAAAUUCAUUGGGCUUGGUUUUGCAUAGGUUAUCAAGUUCACAACCACAGUUGAUUUCCUACAUGAGAUGAUCUAUCUCCAAUUCCUUGAUAGCCUUCAGAGUAUCGGCUAUUUUCCUAUCAAUCUUUUUGAUACUUGUGAGGCUAUUAAGGAGUUGGAGAUGAGUCGUCUGAUGUUGAACUCAACUGUGGUCAUGUACGUGCUAACCUUUGCGUAACCGAGAUUGACAAAUUGCUAUCAUAUACUGCUAAGAAAGUUAUGUCUUUCAAGAAUGAGAUGGAUCUUGAUUCUAUAAAUGUCGACGAGGCAUAUCUUCGAGAUGCAGCCUUGAGGGCUUCCAAUGUUCUAUCUCCUGGGUGGCGGCGGAAUAGUUCUAACGUGAUUAAAACUGCAACGGUCUAUUAGUAUGAUAAUUGGGGGGUCUCUCAUGAGAUUCGUUUAUAUCAUAUCAAGACGCGGUAUCUACACGGAAAAAUUCUAAUUUUUCUUCUUACAAAGGUUCAUAAAAAUUCGUUCAACAUUAUAACAUUAUUUGACUUAAAACAUGUGGAGAUAAUUUCAAGUUGAUCGUUACUUUCUUGAUAUAUUAUCUUUGGAUUUUCCUAUAUAUAAUUUCACCAUUAUUCUCUUGAUAUAUACACACAUAAAAAAAAAAAUAAUAAUAACAUACAAAAUGGAGAGAGAAAAAGAAUGACCUUGAAUAGGGCCAACCAAAAAGCGAGGAAUGCCAACAUUAAGACUACGCUGGCCUGACUUAUCCAGAAAACGAAUUAGCUCACCAUUCUUUACAACAUGAGAACUUUUCUCAUGGUGUUUGAUUGCGAGGAAAAACAUGUUUCGGUGUGGCCAUCCACCCAAGAGGCAAAAUCACUCACAGAGAGUUACUACUCUUUGACCGAAAAUGAAAGGAACAAGAGGGCUGUUGAUCCAGCCUCAUUCAUCCAGGCCAAUAUCCAAAAGAUUGAGUAGAAAAUAGCCAAUACUAUGUAGGCUAUCAAAGAGUUGGAGAGGGAUCAUCUCUUGUCGGAACUCAAUCGUGGUCUUCAAGGUUUAUAAGUUUUAUAAAGAAUUCCAAAAAAUGGUUGAGAUUAAGUCUUUGGGAAACAAUGCGUUUGUUAUGGCUAUUGAUACUUGAUUCUCGGUUUCGGCACGUGAAUUUAAAAAAUGUCUUGAAAACUCUAUUUAAUUCACCAAUGUAAUGACAUAUGAUGGUAUUCAAGGUAGACAAUGUUAAUGGAAGUAGUAUUGAGACAAUGUCUGAGUUUUCUAAGGGUUGUUUCCAAAUAUUUAUUCCUAAUUUUCUCUUAAUCUUGUUUAGGUCAUAUCUACUUUCUUUGUAAUCCUAAAUAAAAAUUAAAAACCCCUCUAUAAUUUCUCUUCACUUUUUUUUAGACAAAGCGUAUAAUCAUGAAGAUGUAUAAUAUCAAGCACGAGUACUUCUAUUUGGUGACCAUACCUGUACCGGGGACCUUUUUGAAACGAGAACUCUAUAGGGAUUAUAUGGGGCCGUUCUUGGAGGAAAAUAACUUCGAAAUUUUGAUAGUUUCACUAAAUUCAUUUCAUUCCUAGCACUCUUAUGAUAAGCAUAUAUAUUUUUUUGGUUUUCUACUUUUUAAAGGAUUUCCCCUCUUUACUUUUUUCUAUUAUUUUUUCUAAUCACUUUUCACUCUAGAUUUAUUUUUAAUUUUUUUAUUGAGUUACCCAUGCCGUAGCCAUAUCUAUUAAUUUUGAUCUUGCCAUUUUCUGUACCCGUUUCCGUACUCUUUUCUAGUUCUCGUACUCAGUUUAGUGCUACUUGAAACUCUUCAGUUGACAAUGAAAUGACUAUGCAGGGUCAUCAUCAGUUGGGUUUGUGUCCUUAUUGAUUGGUGAUGGGUGUAAGCUAAGUGUCAUGGCCACAUCAUUCACAUUUUUGGGCAUUCUUUAGGAUGUGCUAUCGCCUCGUUACUGGGAAUUUGAAUAUUUUUCUAUUAAUAAAAGGUUGUAUACUUUCAUGGAACUUAACUUUCAUUUCUGAUUAUUUUCCUCUCUUUUUUUUUCAUGGUAGCUUCGUUGCAGAUUUCAUAAGCGAUAUGUAUAUGUUAUAUACCACUAGCGAGUUAAAAAAUAAAUACCUAAAACACAUGAUUAAUCUACUACAAUAAUGUUUUAGCGUUUUAUAUUUAUUUUAGAAAAUCGAAAGCAUGUUCAGUAUUUAUCCUCUAUAUUGUCAUUCAGUUAUUUCAUCAUUCCAUUAAACAUACCACUUGGGCCUUAUGUAAAUUUAGUCAAUUUUAGUAUCAGAAAAAUCUACUCAUCUUUUGUUUUCGAAAGAGGAAAAAAAAAAUCUAGUUAAUUCAUAACAAAUUUUCCAUACAAAGUGUGAAAAAUGAUAAUCAUGAAUGCUAUUAAUGGUAAAAAAUCCAAUGGAAUAAGAAAUGAAUAAAAUGUAUUUGCUAAUAUAUUCAAGAAAGUUGGAAGUUUAUCAAACGUUCCCAUUAUUAAUUGACUUGAUAAAAACAAACUAACAAAGCCCUCAAGGUCUUAUCUCUAAGAGAUGUCUCGUUGACACUCAUGGGAUCAAAAUCCAUCUCAAUCCUAAAAGACAUAACUUUUUUACCACCUUAUGAAAGAAAUUUAUUAGGCUUGGUUUUGCAUAGGUUAUCAAGUUCACAACCACAGUUGAUUUCUUACAUGAGAUGAUCUAUCUCCAAUUCCUUGAUAGCCUUCAGAGUAUCGGCUAUUUUCCUAUCAAUCUUUUUGAUACUUGUGAGGCUAUUAAGGAGUUGGAGAUGAGCCGUCUGAUGUUGAACUCAACCGUGGUCAUGUACGUGCUAACCUUUGCGUAACCGAGAUUGAAAAAUUGCUAUCAUAUACUGCUAAGAAAGUUAUGUCUUUCAAGAAUGAGAUGGAUCUUGAUUCUAUAAAUGUUGACGAGGCAUAUCUUCGAGAUGCAGCCUUGAGGGCUUCCAAUGUUCCAUCUCCUGGGUGGCGGCGGAAUAGUUCUAACGUGAUUAAAACUGCAACGGUCUAUUAUUAUGAUAAUUGGGGGGUCUCUCAUGAGAUUUGUUUAUAUCAUAUCAAGACGCGGUAUCUACACGGAAAAAUACUAAUUUUUCUUCUUACAAAGGUUCAUAAAAAUUCGUUCAACAUUAUAACAUUAUUUGACUUAAAACAUGUGGAGAUAAUUUCAAGUUGAUCGUUACUUUCUUGAUAUAUUAUCUUUGGAUUUUCCUAUAUAUAAUUUCACCAUUAUUCUCUUGGUAUAUACACACAUAAAAAAAAAAAUAAUAACAUACAAAAU
rnacentral:lncRNA from 1 species